rnacentral:rRNA from 1 species
UGGGAAUUUUGCACAAUGGGCACAAGCCUGAUGCAGCAAUGCCGCGUGAGCGAUGAAGGCCUUCGGGUUGUAAAGCUCUUUUAGCGGGGACGAAGGGAAACUUGACGGUACCCGCAGAAAAAGCACCGGCUAACUCCGUGCCAGCAGCCGCGGUAAUACGGAGGGUGCAAGCGUUGCUCGGAAUCAUUGGGCGUAAAGCGCGUGUAGGCGGUUAGCUCAGUCUGGUGUGAAAGCCGUGGCUUAACUUCGGAAGUGCACUGGAUACUAGCUAGCUAGAGGACGAGAGAGGAAAGUGGAAUUCCUGGUGUAGGGGUGAAAUCCGUAGAUAUCAGGAGGAACACCAGUGGCGAAGGCGGCUUUCUGGCUCGUUUCUGACGCUGAGACGCGAAAGCGUGGGGAGCAAAC